rnacentral:sRNA from 1 species
GGAGGUUGAAAAUUUACACCAAAGAACUUAGAAAAUUUUUUAGAGAAGAGAGUUGGAAGAAUUUCUAAUUUCAAAGGGGAUAUUCUGGAAGUUUUCAGAGAGCGAGGAGAUUAAGUCUGUAAUAGAGAUAAUGUUGCAGAUGCGGUUGAAAAAGCUUAGAGAUGAGAGAGAUGCGGGGAAAAACUUUCAGGGAUAUUUUGUAAAAAGAAUAAAUUUGUAUUGGAAAAAUUAUGUUGUGUAAAACUUAUAAGUUGAAAUUUGAAUUUAUGUUAAGUGGUGAAGACUAUAUCGUUUGAAGUUUGUAAGUUUGGUAUUGUACUUUGGGAGA